AAUUGAUUUAAUUAAAUUGCAAUCCAAUUGCAAUUAUUCCUUCUUCUACUCACUAACUCUUAGUAAGUUAAAACAAUUAUCAAUCAAAUUGAUAAUUAUAAAUUAUUUGUGAUUCCAAAUCAUAAUUCAACCAUCGGAUCGAUCAAUACCUCUAAUGUGUGUGACCCCAUAGGUUCUAUUCUGUCUGGUAGUGAGAUAUACUGCGAUCUCUAUCACAAUAUCAUUGAAAACUUCUUUCAAUGGGUUGGAACAAUUCCAACUCAACUCACCAGGGAUCAUCAAUCAUCAAGAUAGUCCCUGUGAGUCUCACCAUCCACCAGUGACACCUAACAGCAUGUAGUGGCUACCCAGCAGAAUGGAAUGAUGAACCUCUAGGUGCAGUUAUCGUAUGAUACAGUCCUUCUAUCGUGGAUCCCUACGGGACGGAGGUCAUGGAUAACUCGUCAGACCCCAUCGUCUGUCAUAUGUCAAGAUUUAUUCGACUUAAGUUCGAGAAUGGAAAACUCCUUUUCCACUGUACAUACUACCCCGGCCGAGGAUUUACGAACUCAGUCUCAUAAAUCACAUAGGAUCUCUCUUAACCUAUCAAGAUCGAUAGAUUCCAUCUAGAUGCACCCCUACUCCUACAAUGAACCUACUGCAGCCAAUUUGCACCACAAAAACCCAAUUGGCUAGGGCUCAUGUUUAUGUGCUCGUCAAACUACAACAACCUCACUGUGAAUAGCCGAGGCAUCGCAGGUCAAAGGACCAGUCAUACAACUGCAGCAUCAAGUAAGUCACUGACGAGUGGAUAGACAUCCAAGUGACUACUUGCUAUGGUCACGCUCAGCACUCUUGUUCUCUAACAAGUACUUGCACAAUUGCUCCAAUGUCGCCACACUGUGGACUCAAGACUCGUCCAUCAAAGAAAGCGAUCUGUGCACUAAUCUCAACGGAUCGAUCACCGUCCUCGUGAUGAUCCAUUGAUCAGGAGCAAUUUAGAAAUUAAUCACCAAUGACACAUGCCUCAAAUUCUCAACUCUUGAGAAUAUGCGUCAUUAUCUUAUUAAUUUCUUGGACGAUUCAUGGACACAUAAGAACAUGAAUGAAAAGAAUGCCCAACUUAAUAAAUUCAUAAUUAGGUCAAGUACAAAUUUAUGUCCGAGAAUAAAAUAAUGCGUCAGUCAAAUUGGCUUCUAGGGCAUACUUCUAACAAUCUUCCACUUGCACUAAAGCCAAUCAGCCAUAAACCUAAGCCCCAUCUUCUCAAGAUGUGCUUCAGUUUUCUGCUGACUUAUCUGCUUAGUGAAUGGGUCCACCACAUUUCCUGUGGAGUCUACUCUCUGAUCCUCUACUUAUUUCUUUUCUGGGUAGUCGCUUAUUUGGUUAAACCGCCGCUCUAUGUGCUUCGGCUUCUGGUGAGACCUUGGCUCUUUAGCUAGUGCUAUGGUGCCUUUGUUAUC
rnacentral:lncRNA from 1 species